UUUGCAUUUAUAGAUAAUGAUCGAUUAUGCUCAAACCACGACUAUCCCAAAUGGAUAAAUAAAGCAUGGGAAGAGGCGAAUAAGGAAGCCGGUGUGGCUGACAACCGGACGAAGUUCUUAGCAAACGAUUUUCAAGAAAAAUCGAAAAAAAUUCUGACAACCGGACAAGCAAACAAGAACACAUGCAUCGUUUAUAAAUAAGGAUCAGCAUCGUUUGAAUCUAACACUCAUUCAUUGGUAAAAAUAUUUAAUAUCUAAUUUUUUUAACUUGUAUUUCAACUAAUUCAUUUUUUCAUGAUUCAAAAUUUGAAAUUAGGUCGUCAAUCGAUUUUCUUUUACAUAAUCGUUUCUGUCUACGUAUAAUCCUAUAAAUGAUACAUAUUUAAUGGUACAUAUUUAAAUUUUGUUAUUGAGAAUGUCAUAUAUACAUUUAAGUGUUUAUUAAAUACAUUUCUCUAACAAAUUGAAAAUCACUACCAAAACAUCAAAUCAAUAGUCAUUAUAAUAAUGGCUAACGAUCAAUUCCGAAAAAAGUUGACAAAUCCACUGUGUCGUCGUCGUAUUUAAAAUAAUCAUCAAGUGAAAAAUUGGAAGAACGUGUAGAUGUAGAUGUAAAAGGUGACGGCGGUUGCGAUGAGUUAAUCGUAGGUUCAGCAAGAUCACUUUCUUCGAAUGGUGCAGGAAAUUGUUGAGAUCGAACGGAAAAUGACAGGAAGGUUGUGUUGAUUGUGGUGAGUUUCGAAUUAUGGGUUGCACGACUAUCCUGUGUCUUCUCAUAUGACCACCUAACACUUGAUCAGAAACGAAUUUAAUUCCACAGACCGAGCAUGCGUUAACUUUUUCCUUUUUAACAGCGAUAUCACAGUCGCUGGAAAGAGGCAUUAAAGAUGAUCCUAUACCAGAAAAAGAACUUCCCAAACUUAUAUCGAGAUUACAACCUUCGUUGUCGAUGAAUCUACUCGGAUUGAUGAAGGUGUUGUGAACAUACGGAUGAUAUGGUAUUGAUCCUGUCGUUGUUUUAGACUUCUUGUGACUCACCCGAUGACCGUUUAGGGCUUGAAAAGUUAAAAUCCUUUUGUUGCAGGUCUCACAUCCGUAUCUAUGGAUAUUUUCUAAUUUAGCUUUUCUAUUUUUUAUAAUCGAAUCAUCGUCGAUUGCUUCAUUUCUUGAAAAGAUCAUCUGAUUUUGGGCAUCUCCUCUCAUUUCCAAGAUUUUCAUCAUCGGUUUGUUUGUCAAGCUAGGAGAACAACACCUUCCAUUGACAACACCUCAUCUUCUGUCAAAAAUAAUGACACCGAAUUAAUAUAGUGUUGUUUGGAAUAUUCCGGAUAAAUAUUCAUCCUCCAUGGAUCCAUCAUCGAAUCAUACUGGUCAUCUUUAUGCUGAUUGUGUUGAUUAUUCUGUUGAUGAUGAUGCUCUUGGUUACCACCAUUGUUUCCUUGAAGAUUUUCCAUGCAACGAGGUGUGUUGUGAUGUAUAAUCGAUAUGAAACAAAAAAUAUAAUGAUCAAGAAGUCGGAUCAAUAGGAUGAUGAUGGAACAAGUAAGAUUAUGUGUUGCGUGAUAUUUUGAUUUAAAAGUACUGGAAAUUUGUAUAACUUGGUAAUUUAGUCGUCGCAAGAGAAAUGAUUGAAGUAUUAAAAUCCGGUCACGGAGAGGUCGUUGAGGUCAGUGGAGUCGAAUCCCUGAGUCAUGGACGAUCGGGGGGCGACGUUCUCUUGGAAUUGAGCCUCUAGAUAGUUAGGGUUUUCCACCCUUUGAGAAAGAGCCGGUACCUAACUUAACUGUCGGUAGGGAGCGAAAAGGGGAAAGACGGGUGAUUAGGAGAAGUUUAGUCUAAACACCGUGUAAUCAAGAAUUUAUUUGAAUGUAAAUUUAUUAUUAUCUUUGUAAAUGUUAAUACAGUUUUAUUUAUACAAUUAUUAACAACUAAUUUACAUUUAAUCAUUUAACUGAUUUAACAGAUUCGUAAAUAAUAUUUUAAUUUCUGGGCUGGACUCAUUUUGGGCCCGGUCCGUGAGUCCGAGUUUUGGACGUUAUUUCCGUUAUAAACUUCCUGCACACAGGUACAUGAAAAGUUGGAAAUAACAACUCCUGAUUUGUGCUUGGGUUAUUUAUUUAAUAAUCCUUAUGUAAAGUUUACAAUCUUUAUACAUCCAGACUAUUAAUAAAUGGAAUAUUUGCGAAGUAGUCCUUUUAUAAAAUAAUUAUAAAAUAAACGUAGUUAUAAAGUAGUUAAAAAUGGUUUUGCAAUAACCCUUCGUUUAUUUAUAUUACAUUUAUGUCCUAAAUUUCAGUCUUUUUUACCCUAGAUUUCGACCUAAUUUCUUAUAGAAAGCUCCAACUUUACCUUAAUCUAUUAUAUAUUCGUUUUGCUUCAAUUUGUAAAUAUCCAAUUUUAAACUCCAACAAUGAUACCAAUGAUGAUAAUAAUGAUAUUGGUUUUGCUAAUAAUUAGUUUAAAAUAUUAAUAACUUAUUUUUCUCUUUUAGACAUGUUUUACAUUUAUAGAUAAUGAUUAUGCUCGAACCGAGUUCGAGAAAUAUUUAACAAUAAACUAUCCAAAAUGGAUGAAUAAUUAAAGGACGGAAAGAGACGAAGAAGGAAGCCGGCGUGGAUCGGCUAGACGAGACCUGCAAAAAUUUUCCUCCUUGAUACCUGAGAAAAAAACAAUGAGAAGGAAUGAUGACAAAGUUUUUAGCAAACGAGUUUCAAAAAAAAUCGGACAAAAAAAUCUGACAAUCGGACAAGCAAAGAAGGAUACAUCGUGUAUAAAUAUUGUGGAUCGCGCGGCAUCGUUUGAAUCUAACACUCAUUUAUUGGUAAAAAUAUUAAAUAUCUAUUUUUUUAAAAUUAUAUUUCAACUAAUUCAUUUUUUCAUGAUUCAUAUAUAGUUUGAAAUUAUGUCGUCAAUCGAUCUAUUUUUACAGAAUCGCUUAUGUCUACUUAUCAUCCUAUAAAUGAUAGAGAAGAGGUUUUAAUGGUACGUAUUUAAAUAUCAAUAUAUAUAUAUAUAUAACAAUACAUUUAAGUGUUUAUAAAAUAUAUUUGUCCAACAAAUAGAAAAUCACUACCAAAAC
rnacentral:lncRNA from 1 species